AAGUAAAUAGAUGGUAGGUAUGGAGGAGACGAAGCGAUACAAUGAGUGCGUUUGCCAAACGAGUGACGAUAGUUGAAGUAGAAGGUUGUAAAAUGACAUUUCAACCGUUUCGGUGAUCAAAUCAAAUUGAUUAACGCGCCAAAAGUAGGCAAAAAAUACCAUUGGAAGUGCAAAGAAAUGUCAGCGUCAAGUGCAACACUGCACCCAAGUGUCAAAUUUGAAGCUAAUAAGGACAAAAAUAAAUAGUACAAAUUUAUGUGGAGUGAUAUAGAAAAAAAAAUAUGAAAACCUGAAUUUAACACGAGAGAGGGGGGAGAGAUCUAAACCGGGGCUCCCAUGCAUGGAACAACCAACUUAGAAGUUUCACUUCUACCGUGCUCAAAAAUUGUUCUCAUACUCCAAAAAAUAAAAUACGUGGUCGCAUUACUCCCGCGUCUACUGUAGCUGUAUAAAUAUGCAAAACGUCGACAUUAUCGUAGCAGAGUAAAAACAAUAAGAGCAAUAAUUACAUACAAUUAAUAAUUACAUACAGCCAAUGCCGUGACCAAGCAAACGGCACCGGUAACAGCAACAACAAUAAAUUCAUGAAAACCAUCACCAUAUUGUCGUUGUCAGCGGCUUUGCUUUUGUUGUUACUACAAUUCUGUUUGGCGUCGUUAUGCGUUAAAUUGAAUUCGGAAAUAAUCGCAUUAAGUCUCUCACCGGAUGAUGAGUAUUGACGAGUGGCCGAUGACCGAUGACCGAUUGGCGGUGGUCGGUAAGCGGAGACGUUACAUCUAACAUAACUGAGCUGAGUUAAAUCCAACACAUUUCACAUAAUUACAUUUUAUGUAGCAGCAACACAGCCAUACGACAGAUUUGCAGCUGUUAUUGGAAAUUCUUGCAGGAUAAAAAAAGGCAAUUGAUGUAGAGGUUGUGUCAUAGGUAUGUUGAGUGGGUCCCGAAGAAGUGUUUAUUGUACCUACAUUUGUAUGUGAAGACGCCUGUUCAAUCCUUUUGAGUAAGCAAGAAGUAUCCAAUACAAAAUAGGAGUGUGUUUUGUGAGAUUUAACAAAAAUGCAAUGUGCCUCCCAAGUAGAGUUUAAUAAGAAAAUAAUACAAAAGUUUUCUGGGUAAGAGCAGCAGCGAUCCGUCUAGCGUUUCAAUUUUGAGCCAUCAAUUUUUUGACUUUAACAACUAAAAUAAAUUCUUUGAUGUAUCGAAAUUUAGUCUAUGGUUAGAUAUUUGCAAAAUGGUGCGCUUUUUGCUUGAACAAAGUUGAAAAUGUUAUUAUCUAAUAUCUGAAAUCGAAAAUCGAAUAACUAGCCGAAACCGCGAAGUCAGUUGGCGUGGAAUUGGCAUGAAAAGUUUGUGGAAUUUUUCUAAUUUUUGCAUAAAAUUUUAAAAUUGGUUUUAUAUGAUUCAUUUUUAGACAAAUUUUGGUUUACUUAUAUCUCAGAAGCAACACUUUUACUGUUACAAUGAACAUUCGAAAAAAAAAAUACUCAAAAAUUGGUCAACAUAUUUAGCUGCUAACAUUUCAUCGCGGGUGAA